GAAUCGCUAGUAAUCGCAGAUCAGAAUGCUGCGGUGAAUACGUUCCCGGGUCUUGUACACACCGCCCGUCACACCAUGGGAGUCGGAAAUGCCCGAAGCCGGUGACCCAACCAAAAGGAGGGAGCCGUCGAAGGCAGGUCUGAUAACUGGGGUGAAGUCGUAACAAGGUAGC
rnacentral:rRNA from 1 species